rnacentral:rRNA from 1 species
GAGGUCCAGCCUGCCCAGUGACAUAGUUCAACGGCCGCGGUAUCCUAACCGCGCGAAGGUAGCAUAAUCACUUGUUCUUUAAAUGGGGACUUGUAUCAAUGGCACCACGAGGGCUGUACUGUCUCCUUUCCCCAAUCAGUGAAACUGAUCCCCCUGUGAAAAAGCAGGGAUAAACUUAUAAGACGAGAAGACCCCAUGGAGCUUCAAACCCAACGGCAACUCAUUCACAUUCUCCCCCCGAGCCAAAAGAGAUAUGCCCUCCGGUUUUAGGUUGGGACGACCGCGGAGUAAAAAUCACCCUCCAUGACGAAAAGGACUAAACCUUUACUCAAGGGCUACCCCCCUAAAAAUUAGUACACUAACGUAAAAUGACCCGAUUAACGAUCAACGAACCAAGUUACCCUGGGGAUAACAGCGCAAUCUACUUCAAGAGCCCCUAUCGACAAGUAGGCUUACGACCUCGAUGUUGGAUCAGGGCAUCCCAGUGGUGCAGCCGCUACUAA